UUAUCAAAUAUACAUGGAUCAUGAAGGAAUUUUCUUCUUUGCUCUAUGGCUAGGGAACAAAUUUUUGAGCGAAAUAUUGUGAAAAUAAAAUAGUUAUUUAAAAAAAAAAAAUUUACCCUUGCUUAAUGUGACCGGAAAUAGUAAAUCAAGAAACAUCAGUAAAACUAUUUCUUGCAUGCAAGAUAAAUGCCCGAGAUAAUAGCCACACCUGCAGCUGCAACACCAAGAGACGUAAGAACCUUCACAGCAGAAACAGCUGGUUUCGGUGAAGGCAUUUCCAGCAGAUCCUUCAUCGGAACAGGCUGCUUCCAAUGCUUCUUAAUUCCCUGCAAAUGUCCCUUCCCAACAACGGCAACAACUGAAGUAUGUUCACUAGCAGCUCUUAGUAAUGUGGAAGACAUGUACUGGUCCGUUCAUGCACAAGGGUUUCCAUUAGAGUGGGGAACUCCUUACUCAUCUCUUGAAUCACAAGUGUCAGCAUGUCAACAUCAUCCAUUUCCUUGAGCAUUUUGUUAAGGUCCUCAGGACUUGGUAAAAAGAAUGCUUGAAAAAGCAGAGAGUACAAUAAUUUUGUCUUAUGCCAAAGAGGCAUUUUCCCCCAUGUCCUUCGUAAUGUAAUCUGUACAGGGCGAUCACCAAGUAUCACUUUGCCACCAUAUGAUCUUGCUUCUUCAAAAGCCACUCGAAACUCAGAACCCGGAAAAACCUCAAGCUUAUUGGCAACCUUGGCAAGAAACCAGCUAUAAAGUAUCCCAAACAGGUUAUGUUUUUUCUUCCACAUCUCUAUCAUUUCUCCCAUUGUUGGAACCUUUAAAUUCUGAGGAGUAAGCACAGCCACUCGACUAGAACACAACUCCAAAAAGACAACCUGUGGUUUCAAGAAGCGGAUUACAGCUUCAACUUCUUUACAUGAUUCCUGAGAAACAUGUGCUGUGCCAACCAAGUACACAUCGCACGAUCCACCCUCCGCCGUAGACUCGCAAUUGAGAACCACCACACUUCUAGAAAGCCCCUCCGGAAGCUCCGUCCUCUGCGGCUCACUAACACUCCCUGCAUCGGCGCCAGUGUCCACCCUCAGCUCAUCAGCAACAUCGACAAUGCUCUCGCUCAAAGCCUCGACGUUAGGAUUAGGAUUUUCGAUGUGAACAAAGUCUUCGGCAGCAGGAGGCGGCUCCGCUGAUUCCGGCGCGUUGGGGUCCAUCGCCGGAGCGUUCCGGUUGGGUCCAGGAAGAUUACUGGCUUUGGCAGCAAAUGAGGCAAUUUUAGAGAAUUUUGGAGUUGAGAAUAUAAUGUGAGGAGUAAACGUGAAGUUUCUUGGGGAUCUAAGGGGAAGAAAUUUUAUGGUGGCGGAGAAGAAGAGAUGUGACUCGGGCGAGUUCAGUUGAGUGAUAAGCCGAGUCGAGCAAUUCAUGGAUCGGGCAUGAUGUUUUAUAUACACAAGUAGGAAAAAUUCUUGCCUGCAGUCCUGCCUCUUUCUGCGACG
rnacentral:misc_RNA from 1 species